UACGGGGGGGGCAAGCGUUGUUCGGAAUUACUGGGCGUAAAGGGCUCGUAGGCGGCCAACUAAGUCAGACGUGAAAUCCCCCGGCUUAACCUGGGAACUGCGUCUGAUACUGGCAGGCUGGAGGAACGGAGAGGUGAGUGGAAUUCCUGGUGUACCGGUGAAAUGGGUUGAUAUCAGGAGGAACACCGAUGGCGAAGGCAGCUCACUGGCCGUCAUCUGACGCUGAGGCGCGAAAGCGUGGGUAGCAAACAGG
rnacentral:rRNA from 1 species